UAAGAGACUCGAUGUAUCAUAGUAAUAUUCAUGAUUCACAUACUAAAUCAAGGGGGGAGAGAGAGAGAACAUUUCCACACAUAAAUACAAAAUCAAAGGAGAGAGAGGGAAAACAGAACCUUAAAAACCGCCUAACUUGGAGUAUAGAAUAUCUAUUUCCUCUCAAAAAAUCUUUUUUUCUUUUUGUGUUAUGUGAGUUUCCUCACUUUACUUUGAAUUUCCAUUUCCAUGGAGUCUUCUCCACCUUCUUCAAAUCCUCUCUUCCAUCUCUAUCAUCCUCACAACAAAUCAAAAAUGCACCAUCCCAUUUUCCUCUUUGCAUCACUCUCCCUUCUCUCUCUAACCAUUCUCUUUUUCUCUCUCUACAAACGCUUCUCCAAACCCCACAAACACAACCAAAAAACCAAACUUUCUGAUAAUUCUCCUUCACAACCCGACCCAAUUAGCCCGACCCAUUUAUCAAAAUCGAUUCUUUUUGAAGUUCUCCCCUCUGAUUCCGCUAAAUGGGAUACCUUGUUCGAUGACCCGGAUUCAGUUUUGGAAGUUCCAUCGGAGAAGAAAAAGAGGAGGAAGAAGAAAGCAAAGAAGAAGAAAGAAAUGAAUUCGGAAAGUGAAGAGUGUGUGAAAGCGGGUUUUGAUUCGGGUGUGAAGCUUGAAUCUGAUUGCAUGUAUCCGUUUACUUCUUCAAGUAGCGUUUUGCAGAGAAAAAUUAAACUGCAAUAUGAUGAGCUUGUUAAAAGUAAUGAAUCCAAGAAAUUGACUCUGCCACAGGUUGUCCGGUUCGCUAAUAGUUUAAUUGAUGCUAGGAAUGAGCUUCAACACAAGGCUGACGUGAUUCAAAGAAAGUUUGUAAUAACAAAGGCUUUACUAUGCAAGGCAGACAGAUCUUCUUUUGACCGACUUCAUCAACAGAUAUACAAGCUAGAAUUAGAACAAAAAAGAUUAGAGGAGGAUGCUUUUGUUUAUAACUCACUUCAAUACCAGCUUAAACUUUCACCUGCAUACAAAAAGGUGUCAUACUCUUCAAUUUUGUUGCAAAAAUGCUUGAACUUGGAGCGUGCACGGAGAAGGCAAAACAAUGUGAACAGGUAGACAACAUAGAUGAUGAAUUUGCCGACAUUUCUUUUGAAGAAUUAUUAGCACAAGAGAAGAAGGAUUCGUUUUGGCAAAAAAAUGGAAAAUCAAGAGUGUGCUCAAGCUAAUUUAUAAGAGUACUACUAACUGUUAGUUUAGUGUGUACAUCUAAUAUAUCUAUAGUGUACUGUCACAUGAAUGUUCUUUUUGGUUCUUUCCAUGUGCCAUUUUUGGUUGUUUAUGGAAUAUAGAUGAUUAUAUUAGGAGGAAUUCAUAAAUGGAAGUCGUUUAAAUUGAAAUAUAUAAUGUGACAUACUUAUACCAUGAAAUUUUGAGGACUACAUGGGGGUUUACUUGGGAUUUAGCUCAAUAA